GAGGGUGUAGCUCAAGUGGUAGAGCACAUGCUUAGCAUGCAUGAGGUCCUAGGUUCAAUCCUCAUACCUCCC
rnacentral:tRNA from 1 species